rnacentral:rRNA from 1 species
UACGUAGGGGAUAAAUAAAUAUUUUUGGUUUAAUAGUUAAAUUUAAUGAAUUUUUAUAUUUAAUAUUUUUAGGUGAAAUUUUAAUUUUAAUUGUAAAUGAUUUAAUUGAAGCUAUGAAAUUUAUAUUAAAAACAA